GCUAUUGGGAGAGACUGGAGGGAGGCAGCGCCGCCGGGUUCUGCCAUCCCAUUUUAAUGCUUAAUUCAACGCGCAGUGUCGGGACUUCUCUUUCUGCGUGGUCCUUGCACUAUACCAGGCGGCCCGCAGUCCGUACUCUCAAGACUGCCAGGCUGGUUGGAAUAAGGGGUCUGGGUGAACCCGGGGGGUUCUGCCCUUUACGGUGACUUUCUAAAAGACACCACCGGUGUCUUGACAGUCCAGCGCCUGGGGUGAGAGGCGGGGAGGAGGUUUUGAUCACUAAAACCAAUUACUUUUUUUUCCUUCUGGUCAUUCGGAUUUGUUUCCUGGGCCCCCUCCUCCGCCCCUUCUCUUUUCCCUCCCGCCUUUAGCGAAGUGACACAGGCAACACCUCGCCUGUGUUCGAGGUCGGAACUCACACCUUCUCUGGGGUGACGGCGGCAGCGUACUGGGGACUGGGGACAGCGGCAGAUUUCCUUCCAGCCCACGAUGCCUAGGGGGGCAGCGGCGGGGCUGCGUGGGGCUCUGCCCGCAGCACAUCGAGGCGGGAUUGAGGGGCUGCAGCUGGCCAGGAGUUGCUGCUAAGUGGACUAGGCGCAAAGUGUCGGAGAGGGCACAGCUGGGACCUAUCCCUGCUGAUAGCGGGAACAAGGGGCACCUGAUCCGAGGACGCCGGCGUCUUGAGGGCCGAGGACCGCUGAGCGCAGAGCCUCCCCUGCAACUCCUCCACGCCGGAGACCCGGGACCCGCUUUCCUGAAGGUGAAUCGUUCCGUCCAAUUGCCUUUCCCUCGAGAGCCAACGGGAGGGCGGGAGAGAGGGACGGAGGACGUGAGAGUGUGUGUGUCUGUGAGAGGGGGAGACGACGAGAGGCGAGAGGAAAAGUCCACUCGGCGUUGAGAGCAAACAAUCAGAGAUGGAAUAGAGAGGUAAUUGCUGCAAGCCCGCCUGGAAUCUCGCAGUCGGGGGAGCCGAGCGCGCCCCACGCAUCCGGCGAGGACAGCGGGCGGGCACCGGCGCUGGCCAGGGCUGCGGGACUGGGGCUCUGCCUCCGUACACACAUCUUGGUUACUUUGACACGGCGGAAGAAGGAGCGGGGCAAAGCGGCCAGGUGCCCGCACGCCACCUUGCAGCCGUUUUCAGGGGGACUUCAGUUUGGAUGUCAGGAGAUUCCUGAGCCCUCUUUGCCAUCGGAGGAGGAAACACGCGCGCGCACACUCGCGCGCUCGGGGCCACACUCAUACGCCCUCCACGAGCACACACCACCACCAGACGUGGGUUCCCUAUGCCCGUGAACGGUGACGGCGGAUUGGCAUCUCGGAAGCGAUGCAAGAGCGGUAAGGCUGGCGCGGGCCCGCGGAAGCUGCAGGAGCAUCGCUAGGUGUUGCCGCCACCAGGAAGCCGGGCUGCAGGAUGAGUAAGAGAUACUUACAGAAAGCCACAAAAGGAAAGCUGCUAAUAAUAAUAUUUAUUGUGACCUUGUGGGGGAAAGUUGUGUCCAGUGCAAACCAUCAUAAAGCUCACCAUGUUAAAACGGGCACUUGCGAGGUGGUGGCACUCCACAGAUGCUGUAAUAAGAACAAGAUAGAAGAGCGAUCACAGACGGUCAAGUGUUCCUGCUUCCCCGGGCAGGUGGCAGGCACCACGCGAGCUGCUCCAUCUUGUGUGGAUGCUUCAAUAGUGGAACAGAAAUGGUGGUGCCAUAUGCAACCAUGUCUUGAGGGAGAGGAAUGUAAAGUUCUUCCGGAUCGGAAAGGAUGGAGCUGUUCCUCUGGGAAUAAAGUGAAAACAACGAGGGCAAACGUGUAAAACUCUUCAAGUUCGAAUGGAGAAGUAGAAAGAGAAGGUUUCUGCUGUGCCUGAUGACAAUUUUUGAUUUUUCCACACUCAAAAAUAUUCUAGCUCCGCGUCGGAGCACUAGUGUGGCGAAUCCUAGUGUUGGUCGGAUUCUAAGGAAGGGACAGAAGUUUCGUUGAGGAGUAAAGAUUCAAAACAUCUCCUGAAAUGAGCUCUCGUCUUGGUUUAUUUCUCACAGAGCAGCAGGUAACCCACUAACCAAGGAUUAAUCAAGUGAUCCUCAAGCCUGAUUACACUCAACAUAUGCACAGAAACUCAGUUCUUGAGGUGAUCUUCAAGGGAGAUUUUUAUACCACUCACAAGAGGCACUCCAGAGCCUUAUUUCCAAGAGAUUUCAUGGCUCAUAAUCAGCCUCUUCUUCAAACCAAGACUUUAAAAAAGCCUGACAUGAACUUCUAUGCCAUGAAGAUACUGUCAGAUUUGAACUGCGUUCAAACUUGUAAAAUCGCACAUGCUAAAAGAAUUUGAAGAUGCUAUCUGAAGAGUUGGUGUUUCCAGGUGAUGUCAGAGACACUCACCUUUUGGGUUCUUGGCUUCAAUUGUGACUGCUUUUCCUAUUUCUGAAAGUCUGCCAAGUGCACCGGCCUUCUGCCAUGGAUGUGGUCCUGGGCCCGGUCCUGUGUUCAUUGGCUAGUGGGACCACACCCGGCUUUAUUGAUAUUUCCUUUGCGAACUUCUCUGGCAUGGUGUAGACUGAGACGAUUUUAUUUGUAUCCUAAUCUUGGAGCUCUGAAAGCCUACAUGUUUUAACAUCUUAAAGUUGCUUUUGUUAAAGGAAUGGAAAUAUAUAUCCAUUGAUAAUAAUUAUUGUUGGCAAGUAAUAGUUAUCUGAAUACAUCAAUCAUAUAAGAAUGUAUAGACAAGCUGACAUGUUUCCCCAAGGCUAACAUUCUACUGCAGCUCUCUGUCAAAUAGGUAGUAGUUAGAACUGAAUUUCCAUUUUCAUUAUAUACUAUUUUGUACUUCUAGAGUACUCUCCCUUUCAGUUUUCUUUUAACUGGGCUUUUUCUUUCAUGUUUGUGUUUACUUUUUUCCUUCACAGAAAUCAACAGUGAGCAGUCGAGUAUGUAGGUAGCUUUCAGUUUCAAAAAAUUGCCAGGGAUGCAUGUGGGUUUCUGAUUUCUUAGCCUGAGUGUUACUCACUUAGAUUUCUUCUAGUAAUUUUUUUUAACGAUCCUUUCUAUCAUUUUAAUAGACUGUCCUUGCUCGCUCCCAGUGACUGUUUGAAUGCUUAUAUAUUUGUUUGUUCAGUCUGUUAAUAGAAUUAUUCAUUUUCCUUUAUAAAUAUUUGCUAAUAGUUGUCCCAUUCAAACAAUUUCUUAGGUCAGUUUCUGUCCACAUUUUCAUUGUCAUUUUAACAUUUCUGUUUUUCAGUUCUACAGGAAAGUCUUACAAAUAUUUAAAGGCCUUAAACACUUAUGUACUUUUUUCCUAAGUUAUCACAGAAUGUAUAAUUUUAUACAUUUGUUUCAUUUGUUAUGUGAAGGAAGAAUUGAAAUCUCAUAGCCAUUCUGUAAUAGAGAUGUAAAGGUAAAGACUUCUUCGCUUACUCAUCUUAGACUACUAAUAGGAAGAUAAUUCAGAAACUGUCCUAUUAGAAGUUCCAUUAUGUUAAAGAAGAUGUGAACAUCUUUCAUAUUUUUAAAACUCACUAAUAUGGCCAAUUAAUUAUAUGUUGGCUUCCAUGAUGGGGGCUGACAUGCCUUGGAAAAUUGUCAUCUGUUAGUAGGUAACAAAUUUCAAAGAUAAUACAUUUCCCAGAUUGUCUCUGGGCAAAGGAAUUAGAAGUAUAAAAUCUGUUCAAAAUUAAAUUUGUAAAGUAUACUUUUGACACUGAAUCAAAAAGUAUACUGCCCCACAAAUCCACAGAAUGAAAUUACUUUUUCCCUCCAUUUUAAUUAGACAUAAAAUGAAUUAGAUGGUUCUGAGUGGAUUUUAUAAAAGUUCAAGACUGUAUGAAUUCAGAGAGAAAGAAAAAACAGUUGUGCUGGAGUUUUUGCAUCAAUUAUAAUGUCAUUAAUUUCUUUGGAGCAGAGUUAGAAAACUAUAUUAUUUUGGAAAUUAUGAAUUUGUCCUAGGUUUGUUUGAAAUUGUAAAUCAUGCUUCUUGUUUUUUUAAAUGCGUCCUUUAAAACAAAACUGGAAAUUCUGUAUUAUAUACAAGUGUAACACAUGCAUAUCAAUAGAAAAAAAUAAAUGGAAUUUCAAAUAUACUAGAUCAUUCCCCAUAGAUUAAUGUUGUGACUAUUCAGAAAAGGUAAAUAAAAUUGGGAUAUAAAAUGGA